rnacentral:rRNA from 1 species
CGGAGGGUGCAAGCGUUAUCCGGAUUCACGUGGGUUUAAAGGGUGCGUAGGUGGGUUAGUAAGUCAGUGGUGAAAUCCCCGAGCUUAACUUGGGAACUGCCAUUGAUACUAUUAAUCUUGAAUACCGUGGAGGUCAGCGGAAUAUGUCAUGUAGCGGUGAAAUGCUUAGAUAUGACAUAGAACACCAAUUGCGAAGGCAGCUGGCUACGCGAAUAUUGACACUGAUGCACGAAAGCGUGGGGAUCAAACAGGAUUAGAUACCCUGGUAGUCCACGCCCUAAACUAUGGAUACUCGACAUCAGCGAUACACUGUUGGUGUCUGAGCGAAAGCAUUAAGUAUCCCACCUGGGAAGUACGAUCGCAAGAUUG